ACAGCUUCAUAUAGAGCUUUCGCCAGUAUCACAUAAUUAGGAAUCCAUAUCCUACAGAAUCCUGCUGCUCCUAAGAAUUCUCGCACUUGUCUUCUAUUCUUAGAUAUAGAUAUCCGACACACUGCUUCUUUUCUUUCAGGUCCCAUUAUUCUUUGACCUUCGGAAAUAUGGAAUCCUAAAUAUGUAACAAUUGACUGGCACAAUUGCGCUUUCUUCCUUGAUACCUUGUAUCCUGCUCUCCAUAGAAUGUGAAGCAAAUCAUAAGUUGCUUGUUGGCAUAUCUCUUUAGUAACAGCCGCUAUCAAAUGAUCAUCCACGUAUUGAAGCAAUACACAUUCCCCUGGGAUGGACUUGAAAUCUUGCAAAUCCUGACUUAAGUUUUCAGGAAGUAAGAGGUCUUU